UAUCUUUUAAAAGACCUAGUAAUAGGUAUGCUUUAGGAGGGGCUUGCGCCAUAUUAGUUAGUUGGUAGGGUAAUGGCCUACCAAGACGAUGAUGUGUAGCUGGACUGAGAGGUUGAACAGCCACAUUGGGACUGAGACACGGCCCAAACUCCUACGGGAGGCAGCAGUAGGGAAUUUUCGGCAAUGGAGGAAACUCUGACCGAGCAACGCCGCGUGAAUGACGAAGUACUUCGGUAUGUAAAGUUCUUUUAUCAAGGAAGAAAAGCAAAUGGCGAACCAUUUGUUUGCCGGUACUUGAUGAAUAAGCCCCGGCUAAUUAUGUGCCAGCAGCCGCGGUAAGACAUAAGGGGCAAGUGUUAUCCGGAAUUAUUGGGCGUAAAGGGUGCGUAGGCGGUUUAGUAAGUCCAGUGGGUAAAGGCAACCCUUAACGUUGUCCGGCUAUUGAAACUGUUAAACUUGAGUUAGAUAGAGGCGAGUGGAAUUCCAUGGGUAGCGGUAAAAUGCGUAAAAUGGAGGAACACCAGAGGCGUAGGCGGCUCGCUGGGUCUUAACUGACGCUGAGGCACGAAAGCGUGGGGAGCAAACAGGAUUAGAUACCCUGGUAGUCCACGCCGUAAACGAUGAGUACUAAGUGUCGGGUUAAACCGGUACUGAAGUUAACACAUUAAGUACUCCGCCUGAGUAGUACGUACGCAAGUAUGAAACUUAGAGGAAUUGACGGGACUCCGCACAAGCGGUGGAUCAUGUUGUUUAAUUCGAAGAUACCCGAAAAACCUUACCAGGUCUUGACAUGUUUUUGCAAAAUGAUAGUAAUAUCGUGGAGGUUACCAGAGACACAGGUGGUGCAUGGUUGUCGUCAGCUCGUGUCGUGAGAUGUUAGGUUAAGUCCUAAAACGAGCGAAACCCUUAUCGUUAGUUGUUGCCAGCACGUUAUGGUGGGGACUUUAACGAGACUGCCAAUGAUAAAUUGGAGGAAGGUGAGGAUCACGUCAAAUCAGCAUGCCCCUUAUGACCUGGGCUACAAACGUGAUACAAUGGCUGUUACAAAGGGUAGCUGAAACGCAAGUUCUUGGCCAAUCCCCAAAAACAGUCCCAGUCCGGAUUGAAGUCUGCAACUCGACUUCAUGAAGUUGGAAUCGCUAGUAAUCGCGAAUCAGCAUGUCGCGGUGAAUACGUUCUCGGGGUUUGUACACACCG
rnacentral:rRNA from 1 species